rnacentral:piRNA from 1 species
UCCCAAACUCUUAAAGUGGCGACAUGACGU